GUAGUAGGGUUAGCUGGAGAGCGUGUGAGGGAGCUGGAGCUCUUCCAGAAGAAGAGGUGAAGGCCGAGGCAAGGCGGCGCCAUGGGCUCUUGGAGAGCAGCGGCAAUCCGGUAGAAGCGGUGGUUUUGUAGCAUUCAUCAGCAGAUCAGGUGGUACAUCAGCUAGGGCGCGGAGUUAAGCAGUUGGCCUCGGGAGAAGCCGCCCUAGGCGGUGGUGGGCUGCGGUGGCAGGCGGCCUUUGCUGGAGCGGUAGUAAGACCACGAGCGGUCGCUGUUGGUGGUGGUGGGUGACUACACCCCACGGUGGGGCUCGUGUAGGGUCGGUAACGGUGGAGGACUUUGCGGCCGCUAGCGGCGGCCACUGGUGACGUGGGGGAGGCAUGCGCGCGUGCUAGUACCAGGACCUCCUCCUGCUCGAACACCUCCUUCCAACGCGAUCGCUCGGGCUGCGAAUCUCAACAAGGACCAAUCAGUUGGCACCAGAACCUCAGAUGGUGUACAUAGUAGGCGACACGAAAGCGAAGGGUUUAUUUUAUCAGUUCGGAGUGAGACUACGAACCGAGAUAAAAUAACAUAGCCACAACAUGAUGGUAGUUUGGUGACAGUAUAUGGCGGUGGUGGUAUAUAACGUUUAAACAUUAUUUAUCACCUCGUGGGACCGAGUUGGGCUACAUUAUAAUACAGCAUGACCAAUAUUUAUAGUUCCUUCAGGUGGUCAACAAAACUAGAACCCCGACCACACUGAAUCCUGAUAAGACACUAAAUAAUACCUUUGUCCGGGCUGUACGGAGGACC
rnacentral:rRNA from 1 species